GUUUCCACCUACAGAGGAGGGAUCCCCAAUGUUCUGGCCUCAGGUGGCUGUCCAGUCCAGCUUCCUGAGAACCUGCUGCCUUGUGCCUCUUUUGCAGCAGACUGGUGUGAUGCAGAGAGAGGCUCUUCCCUGACCAGGGUCUC